rfam:Triticum aestivum genome assembly, contig: Triticum_aestivum_CS42_TGACv1_scaffold_487680_6AS
AAGAUACUCCCUCCGUUCCGAAUCACUUGUCUUAGAUUUGUCUAGAUACGGAUGUAUCUAGCACUAAAAUGACUCUAGAUACAUCCGUAUCUAGACAAAUCCAAGACAAGUAAUUUAGAACGGAGGGAGUAUAAG